CUUGUCAGAUCCUCAAACACCCCGGUGAGGAAAGCGUUAUUAUCCCUGUUUUCCAAAUGAGGACACUGAGGCUCAGGGAGCUGGGUGAUGUGUCAAAAGUUGCCCAGCUGCAGAGUGGCAAUGCUGGAAUUUGAAGCCAGGCUUUUCUGAUUCUGAAUUCCAUGUUUUCUUACUUGCCUUUUUCUUCUGCUCCAGCUUGCAGUGCCUCGGAGAGGUGGCGCUGGCUAGCCUGGGACUUCCAACAUACAGCCUACAUUGAUGGCCUGAGACUUGUGGCAAAAAAGACUUUCAAAAUCUAAUUUGCUCACAUACAUGAACACCUGCCAGGAAGGAAUUUGAGGCCUUUGUUCUAAACAUGGAAAAGCUGAGUUCAUUUGCCCCAGAGGGGGCACCUGCAGGGAAAAGGAAAAAUGGUUUUAACCCUUUCCUUGAGUCAGAAAAUGAGGCCACCAGAUUCUCCUUUCAUCCUUCAAGUAUCAGAAAGGUCUGUGCUGUGAAUUCCACAGAUGAGAUUCAUUGCAAGAUGUGAGGGCAGAGGAAAUCCAUGGAAAUGAUUUGCUCCUCCACUGGCUCUUCUUGUAGACACACGACUGCUACAGUAUCAAGGGUCUGAUGCAGACAUGACAAUGUCAAGAGGAAGAGGAGAGCCUCGCUCUUCCCAGGCUUUUGCUUUUAAGAGCAGAAAAACUUUCCCCAGAGUUCCACCAGCUCACUUCUCAUCUUACUUCUUUGGCCAGAACUGGCCCUUGUGCCCAUAUUGUCAGUCAAAUGCCGACAAAGGAAAGGGGCCACUAUGAGUGGUUUAGACUUGGAUUGGAUUUGUCCUUAUUGGAUUGUCCUUAAGUCCUUUGAAAAAGAAGUAUACAACAGAAUGAAAUCUUGACUCAGCUUUCAAGAAUAAAGAGGGUGAGAUGACUGAUGGAUGGCUAGCAAAAUCAGAUGUGGGCUCUGUCCUCAUGGAGCAUACAGUCAGAAGGGGAAGAUUUACCUAAUUACACUAACAAACUUAUAACUGUGGUCAGUGUUCUGAAGGAAAGGAAAUCCAGUUGUAUGGUAACGUAUAACAAAGAAACUGAACUAGGAUGGAGAUGGGGGUGGUAAGUGUAGUUGGGGAAGCCAGGGACAUGAUCUGUAAGAUGGCUGGCCUGGAUUCAAAUUCCACUCCACUUACUUGCUGUGUGAUUUUAGAUUAGUCGCUUCUCCUCUCUGAGCUCAACUUCAUCUAUAACAAUCUUUCCUAGGGUUGUUAAAGGAUUGAAUGAGCCACUCUAUGUAACCACUUGACACAUAUUAGGCACUUCAGUGGCUCCUUUUCCAGAUUAAAGAAGGAGAAAACGUGUAUGUUUGGAGUUAGCACAAGACAGGAUGAUUCCUCAUGUUUGUUUUGGAAAACAAGUCUUAAACUCACAGCCAUGACAGAGUCUGACAUCAUCAGACAUCAGGCGUGUUAAGAAUUGCACUCUUAAUUGAAAAUGUCCAGAGUUUGUGAUUAAUUGCAAUCCUUUUCAGAUCCUUUCCCUAAGAAUUUAAUUUUUCUCCCCACCCACCCGGAGGUCAGGCUUUUAAUGUAACAAGUACAAUCAAUCUUCCACUGAAGAUGGCCUCUCUCUAGUGCAAGCUGGAGCAGGACUCAUCUGGAUUAGAAGCCUAGACGGUUUGGAGUCACCUGGUGAGGUUUACGUGCACAGCUGGGGCCCAGCCUACCUAAUUAGGACCAGAGAGUGGUUGAGAAGGGGACCGGCGCGUAUUCUAGGCGCCCUCCUCCAGUGUCUGUUUCUAAUAAUGGCAGAAAGUAGCAGAGGCGGCGGGGUGAGCUUGGAGCGUGGUGACAUCAUCCCUCCAGCUGUUUUACACAUCUGUGACAUGGCUCAUUAGGACUCUCUUAACACCUCAUCCUUCCCUGCUCCACACAGCUCCAGUUGCAUGAGAAAAGGUGCUCUUGCAUGUGAGGGGCCCCAAGACUGGGGCUGACUUCAGGGUCAAAGAUUCGCUUGGGCACUCUACCAGUCAUCAGAAUUUUCACAGAGACACCCCCCCAACACACACACCCGCAGCAUGCGCUCCUUGAAAGUGCUAAUAGCUUCAAUAUGAGGCUGGCACUUCUGCAUGACUGUUGGUGUUCAGGGCCAGCCUAGUCUUGGGGAGUAGGCCAUCUGUAGCAGCUGCAGAAAUGUUUUUGCUUAUUUUGAGCAUUCUAAGUUUUUCCUAGCCAUGAAUAACAACAAUCGAAUAAAUCAUCCCACAGUGUGUAGGAUGGUCGUUUUUUUGUUUUUUUUUUUCAGCAAGAACAACAAAAAAUGACAUAUCAUGUACUAUGGAUAAUACACAUAAAAAAUUCCGCCAUAUUUAUAGGCAGCAGUUAACUAACUAUAUUUAGAUAUUUGAAACUGUCUUAAAUCAGAUGAAUGAUAAAAGCUUCCUGGAUUUCAGUGGAAAGCCUAAAUGACUAAACCAAAAAAAAAAAAAAAAGUUUUAUUACUAUGAAGUAUAGUGCAUAUUCUGAAAUAAAAGAUAUGUGAUAUUUAUAAAAUAAAAAGAGAAACUUUGUCAAUAGACAGCAUCAUUUAAUAAAGCAGGGUCCCAGAUUUACAGACCUUUGUUUGAGUUCUAAAAUUUACUAGGAAGGAGGGUGCAGGGGUGGAAGCCGUUCAUUGUAGCUCUUUAAAUUUCCUCACUUUUGAAUGGAGAUGAUAAAAUGCCCCUCACAGGGUUUUUGAGAGGACUAAAAAUAUAAGGUAUGGAAAGUGUUUAGCAUUGUGCCUAUCACAAAGUUAGUGCUUGAAUAUAUUAGCUAUUGUCAUUAAUACUAUUGCUAUUCUUAUUUCUUCUACAACUGUUAUUGUUGAAAUGCGAAGUCAAAAUGGUACAUUUUUAUCAACUAUUAAGUGCUAUCAUGUUUCAAUUAAUACAUAAUGUUAUUGAUUAGAAGAUGAUUAUAGUAUUGUCUCUAAGGAAGAAAAAAGGCUGCCUGUUAAACCAUGGUUUAACAAAUUCUGGAGUACGGGCGCAGUGGCUCAUGCCUGUAAGCCCAGAACUUUGGGAGGCCGAGGCUCACGAGGUCAGGAGUUGGAGACCAGCCUGACCAACGUGGUGAAACCCCAUCUCUACUAAAAAUGCAAAAAUUAGCCUGGCGUGGUGGCGCACGCCUGUAAUCCCAGGUACUCAGGAGGCUGAGGCAGGAGAAUUGCUUAAACCCAGUAGGCGGAGGUUGCAGUGAGCCGAGAUUGUGCCACUGCACUCCAGCCUGGGCGACAGCGACAGAGCAAGACUCCGUCCGCCCCCCCUCCCGCCCCCACCCUAAAAAAAGAAUCAAAUUCUGGAAAGCAUCAAUCAUCUCUCAGGCCUUUGAAAAUGAUCUAAUUUUGUAGAUCAAACCCUCUGUGCUUGCAGGUAGGCUCACGAAUGCAGAAAGUGCAUGCUGUGAGCCAUGCUGUACACCUCCUCAUUGUCCAUUUCUCUUCUGGUAUCUCUCAAGGUGUGUGGUCAGGUUAAGAGAUUGAGACUUAAGCCAGGCAGGUGUUACUUCCUCUCACCAUGACAAAACCUGGGACAAUGAGAAGAGGAUAGAUUCUUUCCUCCCGAGGGUGCUGAGGCAGGAUCAGAAUCUCUCCCUCGGGUCUGAAACAGAUCAUAUAGAAGGUUCAAAGCUGCAAGAACCAUUCUGAAACCAUAAGAAUCCUGAGAACGAAGCCCACCUCAUGCUAAUUGUGGAGACCAAGCUUAUUUGAGUUUACUUGAGCCCUUGGAUCCAGCCGUGCCUGAAGACUUUUUAAUAACAGGAAUAAAAAAUUCUAUUUUGGAUAAAGCACUUUGAGUUGGAUUUUCUAUUACUUGCAGCUUAAAAGCUGAAAUGGUCCUAUGUGAUAAGGGAAUGAGACGAUGAUUUUGAGCAUUUAAUCUAACAAGAACAACAAUACUGUGCCUGAAUACCACAACAGGGAAUUAGGUGUUGCCUUCUGACAGUAUAUAAAAGAACUCAUUUCUAUCAGUUUCCUGUAAUACCCAUCAGAAUUUCUGUCUCAGAAUUUAAUUUUCUGAGUUGAGCUUUAAUGCCAUACAUGGACAGUCAUAUGGAAUUCCAGAAUGUAUUUAUUAUAAAAAUAUCACUGAAGAUAUUGUUACAUGUAUCACUCAGUGGUGCUUUCAUAAGUAAACUUCUUUCAGAAUUCAGUAUUAGGAGAAACCUGAGAGAAGGAUAUACUCUUCUCCUCUUCUGAAAAUAUGUGAAUAACUAAUCUUACAUUCCUGAGGCUGGGUGUGGUGGCUUAUGCCUGUAAUCCCAGCACUUUGGGAG
rnacentral:lncRNA from 1 species